GCCUUCGUGGUGUAGUGCUCAGCACGAUCGACGGGUAACCGAGAACUCCGUGGUUCGAUUCCCGGCGAAGGUA
rnacentral:tRNA from 1 species